UGAAUCAAAUUCAAUAGAUCGUUGCCCUCUCAUUAGGGCUUCUCUCUCUUCUCCGGUAAGAGUUCUUCCCUAUCCCAUUGGUGAUAACUAACCCAAAUCCCUUCCCUUCCCAGAACCCUAACUCUUCCUAACCUGUUUUACCCUAACAUCACACCUCCAUUUCUUCCCAUUACCCACAAAGAAAUCUAGAAACCCAGAAAUACACAUUCCCAUCUAAAGGUCUGACGCCCACUAACUGAUGAAUGACCAGCGAGGAUGAGUCUUUGGAGGUCGAAUUUGGGCCCCCUAGCGCUGUUCUCUCUCCAUGUUUGUCGGGCGAAUUUGCAACUCAACUUGCAUAAUGGCUCACUGGUCCCCUCGGCAACAGCUUUGUAACUUGCUACAAUACAAACAAGGUCCGGUUCUUGGUGUUCGUUGUUGAUGCUGCUCCUCCCCUGUGCUUGGUGUUCGCUGUAUCAUAGGAAGGCAUGACGAUUUCGUGGUGUGUAAGAAUCUGGGAAAGUUUCUUACACAUUGAUGUCUGGUUAACUGUUUUGUGUUCGUUGUUGAUGCUGCUUCUCUCCUAGUGGUAAUUUGUCCAUGGUGUGACUCCCCUAUAAAGCAACAAUGGAGAAAAUCAACGAUGAAGAAACUCGAAUGGCUGCCCUUUGUAAGAGCCUAGGUUCGUUAUGGUCAGAUUCGGAUAUUGCUAUUAUGAAAGGGGUAGUUUUCCCUAGAAAAAUUGAAAUAAUGUAAUCUGACCAUUUUUGGGAAAAUCUUUAAUAAUCCGAGCAUCAGCUUUCAAGCCUUCCAAAAUACAAUGCGAAGGGCAUGGAGGUCUGAUUCUGCCACUUUCCAAGAUCUGGAUGCUGGUAUGUUUGCUGUAAUGUUCAAAUCCGAAAUAGAGAAGAAAAGGGUGCUUGAUAA